UACGGAGGGUGCGAGCGUUGUCCGGAAUCAUCGGGCGUAAAGGGCGCGUAGGUGGCCCGGUCAGUUCGUGGUGAAAGCGCGGGGCUCAACCCUGCGUCGGCCAUGAAUACUGCCGCGGCUGGAGCACUGUAGAGGCAGGCGGAAUUCCGGGUGUAGCGGUGGAAUGCGUAGAGAUCCGGAAGAACACCGGUGGCGAAGGCGGCCUGCUGGGCAGUUGCUGACACUGAGGCGCGACAGCGUGGGGAGCAAACAGG
rnacentral:rRNA from 1 species